rnacentral:rRNA from 1 species
UACGUAGGGUGCGAGCGUUGUCCGGGAUCAUUGGGCGUAAAGGGCUCGUAGGCGGUUUGUCGCGUCGGGAGUGAAAAUCCAGGGCUUAACCCUGGACUGGCUUUCGAUACGGGCAGACUAGAGGUAUGCAGGGGAGAACGGAAUUCCUGGUGUAGCGGUGAAAUGCGCAGAUAUCAGGAGGAACACCGGUGGCGAAGGCGGUUCUCUGGGCAUUACCUGACGCUGAGGAGCGAAAGUGUGGGGAGCGAACAGG